GGGCCUUUAGCUCAGCUGGUUAGAGCAUUCGACUCAUAAUCGACAGGUCCGCAGUUCAAGUCUGCGAAGGCCCACCA
rnacentral:tRNA from 1 species